rnacentral:rRNA from 1 species
CAUGCUUGCACCGGGUGGAUGAGUGGCGAACGGGUGAGUAAUACGUGAGUGACCUGCCUUUGACUCUGGGAUAAGCCUGGGAAACUGGGUCUAAUACCGGAUGCGACUACUGCCCGCAUGGGCUGGUGGUGGAAAGGGUUAUGUACUGGUCUUAGAUGGGCUCACGGCCUAUCAGCUGGUUGGUGGGGUAAUGGCCUACCAAGGCGACGACGGGUAGCCGGCCUGAGAGGGUGACCGGCCACACUGGGACUGAGACACGGCCCAGACUCCUACGGGAGGCAGCAGUGGGGAAUAUUGCACAAUGGGCGCAAGCCUGAUGCAGCGACGCCGCGUGAGGGAUGACGGCCUUCGGGUUGUAAACCUCUUUCAGCAGGGAAGAAGCGGAAGUGACGGUACCUGCAGAAGAAGCGCCGGCUAACUACGUGCCAGCAGCCGCGGUAAUACGUAGGGCGCAAGCGUUGUCCGGAAUUAUUGGGCGUAAAGAGCUCGUAGGCGGCUUGUCGCGUCUGCUGUGAAAGCCCGGGGCUUAACUCCGGGUGUGCAGUGGGUACGGGCAGGCUAGAGUGCAGUAGGGGUAACUGGAAUUCCUGGUGUAGCGGUGAAAUGCGCAGAUAUCAGGAGGAACACCGAUGGCGAAGGCAGGUUACUGGGCUGUUACUGACGCUGAGGAGCGAAAGCAUGGGGAGCGAACAGGAUUAGAUACCCUGGUAGUCCAUGCCGUAAACGUUGGGCACUAGGUGUGGGGGACAUUCCACGUUUUCCGCGCCGUAGCUAACGCAUUAAGUGCCCCGCCUGGGGAGUACGGCCGCAAGGCUAAAACUCAAAGGAAUUGACGGGG